UUGUAACGAUGGCGACCGAGUCUACCUAUCUUUACCGGAGGUAAGCUUUUUACGCCCAUAUGUUAAACGAACACUAAAUGCGAGAUCAUGGAACAUAAGCUAGGUCAAACACUAAGAUACUUUUUCAUGGGUAUUUGACGCACCGCCAAAAAGAUAAGAACAUUUGUAUGAAGAAUGACUUUUCAGUAAACAAUUGGUGAAUUUUGAUAUCAUCUUGUUCAAUGGUGAACAAGCUUGCUGUAUCAACCGUAAAAUCGCUUCGAAAUUGUAUUAGAAAGAUCGAAUAUACCGCUUUAACUGUGUACCAUGAGAAACGAAAAGCGAGGUAUCCACAGCAAUUUUUUAGCUCUUAAUCUAACAGAAAACCCCCUUCUGAAGAGAAAAUCCAUUAUCAAUUUUUGUUUAAAGAAAAAGUAUUGUCUUUAGUAGGGAACGAUGAAUUUGGUUAAAUAACAAAAUCAAUACAAUUUCUCAUAAUAAAAUUUUAGCUAAAUCGCCAUUUCCAGUUUCUUAUGUAUACAUCAAUUACUUGACUAAGAGGUGUGGACAGCAAAACAAGUUUUCGCUUUAUAUGAAAUGAACUGUAGAAAGCUCGAUAGGUGCUGAACUCAUAAAUGUAAAAUUACUACCGCCCGAAAUAUUUAUAUGGCUUUGGACUCAUUGCAAAUUUGCGACCCUGAAAAAUGAUAAUAAGCGGCACAUUGACAAUUACAGUUAUCUAGUGAA